UCAGACGAUGCGUCAUGCAUAUCAAUAAGCGGAGGAAAAGGAACUAACAAGGAUUCCCCUAGUAACGGCGAGUGAAGCGGGAAGAGCUCAAAUUUGAAAUCUUAAAGGGUUUCCCUUUACGAAUUGUAGUUUAAAGAAGUGUUUUCUGUUGAGGUUUUGGUAAAAGUUCUUUGGAAUAGGACAUCAUAGAGGGUGAGAAUCCCGUAUUUGACCUUUACUUUCAACUUUGUGAUACACUUUCAAAGAGUCGGAUUGUUUGGGAAUGCAGUCCAAAAUGGGUGGUAAAUUUCAUCUAAAGCUAAAUAUUGGCGAGAGACCGAUAGCGAACAAGUACCGUGAGGGAAAGAUGAAAAGAACUUUGAAAAGAGAGUUAAACAGUACGUGAAAUUGUCAAAAGGGAAGCGUUUGACACCAGUGUUGUUUUUCUGAAAAUCAAUUAAAGAACUGUUUAUGCUAAGCUGUUUAGACUUUAUCAGCUAAUCUGUUUAGUUUUAGGCUUUUCUUUAAUGCACUUUUCAGGUUAACAAGUCAACAUCAAUUUCUUUUGCUGUAAAAAAGCUUGAGGAAGGUGGCUUGAGAUUCGUCUUAAGUGUUUAUAGCCUCUUGCCUAUGCAGUCGGAGAGAUUGAGGUCUGCAGCGUAGAUCCUUCGGGGCUAAAUGCAUUUGUGCUAAGUUAUAGCAUUUUAUAGACAACUUGUUGACUAUGAUUUGUCUUGUAGCUUACUCGCUUAUGUUAUUUUACCUACGCUUAGGAUGUUGACACACGCGCGUGCUCG
rnacentral:rRNA from 1 species